UACGAGGGGGCUAGCGUUGUUCGGAAUUACUGGGCGUAAAGCGCACGUAGGCGGAUACUUAAGUUAGGGGUGAAAUCCCAGAGCUCAACUCUGGAACUGCCUUUAAUACUGGGUAUCUCGAGUCCGAGAGAGGUGAGUGGAAUUCCGAGUGUAGAGGUGAAAUUCGUAGAUAUUCGGAGGAACACCAGUGGCGAAGGCGGCUCACUGGCUCGGUACUGACGCUGAGGUGCGAAAGCGUGGGGAGCAAACAGG
rnacentral:rRNA from 1 species